rnacentral:rRNA from 1 species
UACGGGGGGGGCAAGCGUUGUUCGGAAUUACUGGGCGUAAAGGGCCAGUAGGCGGCCAACUAAGUCCGACGUGAAAUCCCCAAGCUUAACUUGGGAACUGCGUCGGAUACUGGAUGGCUUGAAUUCGGGAGAGGGAUGCAGAAUUCCAGGUGUAGCGGUGAAAUGCGUAGAUAUCUGGAGGAAUACCGGUGGCGAAGGCGGCAUCCUGGACCGACAUUGACGCUGAGGAGCGAAAGCAUGGGGAGCGAACAGG